CCUACGGGGGGCAGCAGUGGGGAAUAUUGGACAAUGGGGGGAACCCUGAUCCAGCCAUGCCGCGUGUGUGAAGAAGGCCCUCGGGUUGUAAAGCACUUUCAGUGAGGAAGAACGCCUGGUGGUUAAUACCCAUCAGGAAAGACAUCACUCACAGAAGAAGCACCGGCUAACUCCGUGCCAGCAGCCGCGGUAAUACGGAGGGUGCGAGCGUUAAUCGGAAUUACUGGGCGUAAAGCGCGCGUAGGUGGCUUGAUAAGCCGGUUGUGAAAGCCCCGGGCUCAACCUGGGAACGGCAUCCGGAACUGUCAAGCUAGAGUGCAGGAGAGGAAGGUAGAAUUCCCGGUGUAGCGGUGAAAUGCGUAGAGAUCGGGAGGAAUACCAGUGGCGAAUGCGGCCUUCUGGACUGACACUGACACUGAGGUGCGAAAGCGUGGGUAGCAAACAGGAUUAGAUACCCUUGUAGUC
rnacentral:rRNA from 1 species